rnacentral:rRNA from 1 species
UAGUGGCGAACGGGUGAGUAACACGUGGGCAACCUGCCCUCCACUCUGGGAUAACUCCGGGAAACCGGGGCUAAUACCGGAUAUGAUCUGGGGUCGCAUGGCUUCGGGUGGAAAGUUUUUCGGUGGAGGAUGGGCCCGCGGCCUAUCAGCUUGUUGGUGGGGUGAUGGCCUACCAAGGCGGUGACGGGUAGCCGGCCUGAGAGGGCGACCGGCCACACUGGGACUGAGACACGGCCCAGACUCCUGCGGGAGGCAGCAGUGGGGAAUAUUGCGCAAUGGGCGGAAGCCUGACGCAGCGACGCCGCGUGAGGGAUGACGGCCUUCGGGUUGUAAACCUCUUUCAGCAGGGACCAAGGGUGACUGAGUGUACCUGCAGAAGAAGCACCGGCUAACUACGUGCCAGCAGCCGCGGUAAUACGUAGGGUGCGAGCGUUGUCCGGAUUUAUUGGGCGUAAAGGGCUCGUAGGCGGCCUGUCGCGUCGGGAGUGAAAGCCCACUGCUUAACGGUGGGUCUGCUUCCGGUACGGGCGGG